UGUCUCUGAUAUUGUAUCAUUUUUUACCGCUCAUCUUGCCUUACCUUCAACAUGAGUUGCAGAAACACCAACCCCGUUUGUCUACUCCUGUAUGUAACACACCCUCUCUCUAUCCUUUGAAAAUUUUCAAAAACCUUACUAUUUAUUGGUCGAUUGUAUGCAAUGGAUGGAGGGUAGAAAAUUCCGCAGAGCGAGCGUACCAUAUACGCUAAUUCAUUCCGUGUUUCCAUCAUGAAUCAAUUUGAGAAGGAUAAUCGCUGAAGUUGGGACCUGAUGUCCACUUACACCUGGGAGGAUUUGCCUUGAAUGUCUUCGCGAAGGCAGACAAGCAAGACCGGACCGGGUGAGCUGAUUUGUGUGAUAAGUUUUUCCUUCUUUGUUUUUUUUUUUCAUUUUCUUUUUGAUGAUUAUUAUACAAGGAAUUGGAACACGUGUUAUGAGGUCCACAUUUAGGUGUAAUCUUAACUCUCUCAAAUCGUUUGAGGUCCACACACAGGCAUUUUGGAAGUACAUACAUGUUUCUAUGAUGUUCCCUUUUAUGUUUGUGAUAUGUGCACAAUGUGUCAACCAAUGUUCCUGUCACAAAAUUAGAUUUGAAAACCGUUUCCUCCCAUUAUGAUAUUUACCAAUCUGCUUGCAUUUGGACUACUACUCUUGUGGACAAGCUAAACUAUACUGUUAUAUAAGGUUGUUAUGUUCUUGGAUCCGCUUUGUAUCUUAGGGUUUGUAGCACGUUAGUAGAUGCUACACAUUGAGAAUGGGCUUCUGCAAGGUGCACACCUUUGUUUAGUCUAGCCCUUAGAAGUGGAAUGGCUAGGAGAGCAACAGGUUGAGUUUGGGUUGGUCCCUUUUCCCUGACCUAGCCCGAGGGCGGAGGUAUCACUCUUAAGCCUGUGAUUGGUGGGGGUGCAACCAAUUUAAAAUUUCAAGCAGAUGGGGUUCGUAGGUCUUCCCAUUGGGUUCAAAAAAGUUAUUUUCUAACAUUGUGGUGUUGUUCAUUAGGGAAGUGUUUCCGAAACCAUUUUUUAAGAAAAUAAUUUACAGGUGGCAUGUACUCAUUGCAUGCCUUGACACGGUUGAUUAAGCUCAAUAUAUGGAGUGCUGAAAGGCUUUAUUACUUUUACAGAGAAAUAGGUUUUCUCAAUCCUCAUUGUUACUACACUUUGAAUGUGGGGCAGGAGUACUGUAUCCAAAAGUCUGGUAGUGGAUGUGGAGAAGAUAUAGGGUACUCAAGGCUUACUACGUCAUUGCUAUUGCCCAACCAAUGAAAAUGCACCAUAUCAACUUGGAAUCAGCAAUUUUUUAUAAAUAGGUGGGACAAAUUUCAUUGGGUGGUGCAUUUUAAUUGGGUAGACAUACCAAUAACUUGGUGUGCAUGGCAUGGCAAUGGCAUACCCAAUAUCUACUGUGGAUGUGAGGUCACACGAUUUCGUUAUCGUAAAACUCGACAAAGGCAUAAAAUGAUGUAGUAUCACCCAUUUUGGAGGCAAUGCAGUAAUUCAGUCAUCCUGGUCACACACUUAAGACAGAUUGUAACCUGAAAGUGUUUUAUAAAGUUUAAGCAUCUUCUUGGACGCAAGCAGUGGGCAUGUUGUGUAGCAAGAUAGAUCAAUAAUUUUUGCAAAGGUAAUAAUGGUUGCAUUACCUGUUGCUCCUUAAUUUCACAUAAAGACCUGAGUGCCUUCUGUCCUUUUGGUCUUCUCAUCCUGUUGCUUCUUAUAUACGGGGCAUGGUGGGUACUCCCUGCUGAAGCCUGUCCCGACUCUGUUUACUGACUUCUCUAACCCAUUUAAGUUGGGCAGCCACUGGGCCAGUAUCGAUUUUUAUCGGGUUCAUCGUCAUCGUAGGAAUGGCUAACAAUACAUCUGCUGCUGAUCUUUGAGCGUACUUCUUAUCAAUUGUUUGUUUGGAUUGAAAGCUAGAUUAAAAUAAAUAAAACAGUUUGUUCUUUGCACUUUUAACUUUGAUAUAUAUAGAAGUUUGAACAAAUGAUCUGUUUGGGAAAAACUAGGCUUGUUCAUUAGAUCUACAAGGAACAAUUUUGACAAAAAAAAUUAAAUUUUUUUUUUUCUUUUUCUAGUUGAGUAAAAGAAUGUCAUUAUAUGAGAGACGAUGAUUGUAUAAAAGUUAAGCACAUCUUCCUCCAACAUAAGUACUUUUUCCAAUCCUCAGUGAUAUUGUGACUAAAGAACAGGCACACAAAGUCAAUGUGUAUUGUCUCUGCCACUCUAGUCCCUCUUUUUACAACCAAACCUAACCUGUGCGAGUAAAUGAAUGCUGGAUCAUGCCGAUUCUCAUUUAAACCAUGGUCAUAAGUGUUUUUGUCUAUGAAGAGCUCUCUCUCUCUAAAGUUGAUUAUUUUUUGGUAAUUGUUUGAUAAUAGUUAUAACUUAUUGAAUUUGUUACAGAAAUACUACAAAGACAUUUUAUGCUGCAAGUAUUUUCUUUGAGAUUCUUAAUCAGUUUGGUCAAUUUCAACCUGAUGUGAGUUUCUGAUUACAUUAUUAAUUUUUACACUGAUGGGUUCAUUUACUCUAUAUGUUCAUAUUUAAUAGAUAUCGUGUUAAAAUAGCUGGGCAUAGUUGAUUUAUUAUAUUGGCUAAUAUUGGGUUAAUUUUUAUGUUUAUGACCCUCUAAACAGCUUGAGCAGAAACAGUUAUAUGCAGCGUGGAAAGCUGCCGAUAUAGGAAAAGCUUUGACAGAAGGAAGGAAGCCUGAACCUGGCACCCCUGGUGGUGAUAAAGAUCUAUAUAUACCGUCAAGUACACCUAGUAGGGAAUUUGUAUGAUUCUGUACUUAAUAGGCUCUGCCUGUCUUGUUGAUAGGGUAACAUAGUUAUUGUGAAUCUUGUGAGGGAGGCAAGAUGGGUUUCCUAUUAAACGGCCCUGAAGAGAAGGACGGGAAUGAGCAGAAUCAAUGUGAUUUUGUAGGCCACAAACAUUAGUGAAAGAAGAAUUGGUAUUUUUCUGAAACAGCAGAUAAUGAAAACUAGACAAAGAAACAGAUUACAUCCUCAAAAGAAUAUGUAACAUCACUUUCAACUAACAUUUAAUGCAAUAGUUCUUGUAUUUGAUGGUGAAAAUGUUGACAAGUAUGCAUUGUAGAGGGUUACAUUAUGCAUUGGUUACAGAAUCGAACAAGUUUUUUCGUUCAAACAUACACACAGAUAUAUACAUGCACAUGCACACAUGAAGAUACAUCUGCUUAGACCUUGAUUAGGAAAGAAUUAUAGUAGUAGUUGGACAUUUUGAAGAACUUCUGACGAAUCUGAUUAUUUAUAUGGUUCUACCUUUGCAGGACCCUGAACCAAGCAUUACUGAUACUAUGAAACCUGCUCCAGAACUUGACCCAUCACCUCAGUCCUACGAUAAAGUUAACCCCCAGAAUUCCACGAACAUUCCAUAAUCUACUCCAAUUAUUUCACUGUCAUCUCCUUCUUACCCUACUCCCGGUUAUUUUUCCAAUGAUUUCAAUCUACCAACUUCAACCAACAUAUCAGAAGAUUCUACUUAUUCUCAGCCAUAUAACCAUCAACCAUAUUCACAAGAGCCUCAACUGCAUGUGGCACAAAAUUACCCAUCCCAUGAAAUUCCCUCGUACUCAUAUCCCAAUUUCCAAUCUUACCCUUGUUUUGCAAAGAGUAGCCUCCCAGAAGCACCGUCUCAUUAUCCUUCCUAUCCGGAGUGUUCUGAUUCUUUGUACCCUACCUUGUCAGCUCCUUCCAAUAGGAACUACCCACCAACUGUUCAAUACAAUUAAGGCAGCAGAAAUGGAACUUUUCCAGAAGUUCAACCAGAUCCUGCACAGAUAUACCAAUAUGACAGCAAUAACCAGGCACCACCUGAGAAAAUUGGUGAGGCACACAAGGCUGCAAGGUUCGCAGUUGGGGCUCUGGCAUUCGAUGAUGUGUCUGUUGCAGUGGACCACCUUAAGGAAAUCACUCGAACUACUGACAAAUCCAUCAGCAGGGCAGUUCUUGCUAAUCGGCAACAAUUCUCAGGUUACACUUUAGAACCCAGGGCUGCAUUGCUCGAAGCCCCCUUUUGGUGGAACUUAAAUGCACGGUAAUUCUCAAUGACUUGUUUUAGAUCACAUGGCUAGUAACUUUAUCUUGCAUGGACACUGGACAGUAACUUAUGAUAUAUAGGUAUCGGGAUAUCCUGACUUUGAGAAGUUAAAUGAUUAAUCAUUUCAUUUAGGCUUUGUUUGUUUCGACGUAAAAUAUUUUUCUUUUUCAAGUAAAAUAUUUUAUUUUUAUUUUUAUUUUUUAGUGUUUGGCAAAAGUCUAGGUCGAGUCUAUCUGGCGGGGCGUGUACAAUAAUUUGCCAAAAAUUGAUGGAUGAGUUAUUUUUGUUAGAUUUAAAAAAAUAAAAAAAAAAUUCGUAAAUAUUUUAUGACAGCCAAACACCAGAAAAUUAAAAAUAUUUUUUGAAAAAUAUUUUACAUCCAAACAAACGGAGCCUUAAUUUUAUCAGAAAAUAAAUUUCUGAUGUCUUGGCCCCAGGUUGUCCAUAUCUUAUUUCUGGCUGGUGGGUAAACGGGGCGCAUGUUGUUCUUAGGUUCAAUAUUUCAAUAGCCUGGUGUAUCAUGUCAAACCUAGGAUGUGCACUUGCUCUUUUGAUAGAUAUCGCUACUGCUUUGCAGAAGAUUGAUCACACUACUUAUACUCUUCUGGCAAAAAUCCCUUCACAGAUAGAAGUAGCUUAGUUGAUUUUUAUUUUUUCACCAAAUCCAUCACUUGAACCAUAUUUUUAACCUAUUCUAUAGUGAAUACCAAUGCAAACAUACCAUACUUUGAUUCUAUAGGGAAUACCAUCUCCAAUCUCUCUCUCUUCCUUAAACAAUUGAACCAAGUGAUGGAUUCUUUUGAUAUAUCUAGAUUUUCGAUCUUUGCAUAACCCCACUUCUAUUCUUAUAUUAUCUUUUGCAUCGAUGGCUUUGUCUCCCUUGGUUUGUUAAAUUUAAUCGUUAGGAUUGCAAACAGCACUGUGGUUCAAUCGUUUGUUAGGGUUUGCAAUGAGUUUGCCUUGCGGUGAGACAGUGCAGUGUGAUGAAGAUAACUGAAGAUGAAGUGUGAUGCUACACGAUGAAGUCUAGGGCCCGAAUCAUGCAGCUCUGUUACCAUGAUAGAUUUAUAACGGUUAUAUUUGCAUAGUGAAGAAGAAGAAUUGCUCUAUAUAUUCAAUCGCAAGUCUAAUAAAAUAGAAAGGCAAUAAUACCCUAAAUAGGAAAAUAAAUCCUAAUGUUAAUCUACCAUUAAAGUUCCUUUGCUUUCAUCACCAAUUUUACGAUGCAUUCUUUGUCCUACAAAAAGUUUGGACAAGCCAACAGUAGUUGACUUCUUGUGUGUACAUAACACAAUGUUUCACUUUGGUCUAAUCUGAUUUUAUCCACAUUGGAUAUUGAUAAUAACUAAGCUACCUUCCUAAGAAAGAUCCUUGGAGAAUCCAAUUUGGUAUCUUUUGUAAUCUCUUUCAGAACAUUAUUCCAUAUAUACCAUUUCAACCUGGUGUUCUGUUAAUCAUUCAUUGGUUCAUUUGAGUAUAAGAAAUGGGAGUAACCCUCUGUGGUUUUGGGCAAAAAAGUCCCAAAAGACCGUCGAAAAACAACUCUGAUGAUCGUCAUGUUGUCCUAACAACAUCCAUUAUCAAGUUCAUGAAGCCGAUAUGUCUAUGGACAGCAAAGAAAAAGAAGAGGCAGUUGCAGCCACAAGGGAAGCAACAGCUGCUGCUAAAGAAAAUGAAUCAGCUCAAUACUCUAGAGGAUUGGCUCUCCACUUCACCGGGCUUAAAUGAAGGUUCCUUAAGUGGAGGUGAGUUCCAUGUUCUUAAGCAAUUCUCGAAUAGGGUUCACCCGUCUUUAGCUUCAGAACAUGAAGAUAAGAGUGCUGUGCACGUUUGUGAGGUUGAUGCAGGAGAGAUGCAAGAUUCAUCACUAAGCAAAAGCCAAAGUGUGAAGAUGAAGAAGAAGAAGAAGAGGGUGAGCUUUAGAUUACCAGAAGUGGCUGAUAUUAUCGUGCUUGAUUUAUCGGAUGAAUCCUAUUAAGAGUGGUUAAGAAUCUCUGUACUGUACUUAAUUUCAUUAGAAAAUCUGGUUUGCAGUUUGUUGUUCUUGGUUUCAGCCCUGUUUGGAUUUGUAGAUUCCCUACCACCCCUUUUCCUUUCUCUUCUUGGUGUAGUGCAAGAAAUAAGUGUUUAAUACCAUACAUACUUUCCUCCAUAUUUACCUCUAUUCUAUAAAGUUUUGUUGUUGAUUAUAA